rfam:Symbiobacterium thermophilum IAM 14863 DNA, complete genome.
GAACUCCAUAGUGAACGACCGUAGACAGCAGGUGCCGCACAGGCCUAAGUGGCGUUUUCGCCAGCCCGCCGAGGUCGGAUGUCGCGCCUCCCGGGGCGCGCGCGUCUGGGUGCUACAUCUCAGACCUCCGACUGGCUAUGGUCGGAGGUCUUUCUUCAUGUUC